rnacentral:rRNA from 1 species
GAUGAACGCUAGCGGGAGGCCUAACACAUGCAAGCCGAGCGGUAUUGUUUCUUCGGAAAUGAGAGAGCGGCGUACGGGUGCGGAACACGUGUGCAACCUGCCUUUAUCUGGGGGAUAGCCUUUCGAAAGGAAGAUUAAUACUCCAUAAUAUAUUGAACGGCAUCGUUUAAUAUUGAAAGCUCCGGCGGAUAGAGAUGGGCACGCGCAAGAUUAGCUAGUUGGUGAGGUAACGGCUCACCAAGGCGAUGAUCUUUAGGGGGCCUGAGAGGUGAUCCCCCACACUGGUACUGAGACACGGACCAGACUCCUACGGGAGGCAGCAGUGAGGAAUAUUGGUCAAUGGGUGCAAG